rnacentral:snoRNA from 1 species
UUGGCAAUUCAGCCUGAAUAUUGAAGCUGUUGGUUUCAAGCAGGUGCUUAAAGAAAUGUCUUUCUAUGGUCUGUUGGCCAUUUCAAAAAUUUGGAAACAUAAUGGUCAAUUCAUUAGAAGGAAACACGU